rnacentral:rRNA from 1 species
UACGUAGGGCGCAAGCGUUGUCCGGAAUUAUUGGGCGUAAAGAGCUCGUAGGCGGCUUGUCACGUCGGGUGUGAAAGCCCGGGGCUUAACCCCGGGUCUGCAUUCGAUACGGGCUAGCUAGAGUGUGGUAGGGGAGAUCGGAAUUCCUGGUGUAGCGGUGAAAUGCGCAGAUAUCAGGAGGAACACCGAGUGGCGAAGGCGGUCUCUGGGCCACUACUGACGCUGAGAAGCGAAAGCUGGGGAGCGAACAGGAUUAGA